rnacentral:rRNA from 1 species
GAUAUGGCUCAGGAUGAACGCUAGCUACAGGCUUAACACAUGCAAGUCGAGGGGCAGCAUCAUCAAAGCUUGCUUUGAUGGAUGGCGACCGGCGCACGGGUGAGUAACACGUAUCCAACCUGCCGACAACUCUGGGAUAGCCUUUCGAAAGAAAGAUUAAUACCGGAUGGCAUAGUCUUCCCGCAUGGGAUGAUUAUUAAAGAAUUUCGGUUGUCGAUGGGGAUGCGUU